CUCCCCUGCACAAGGUUAACAACACCCUGAGAGCUGUCACCAGAGCACAGGGGCCCUUAGGGGAGGUGGGCCAUACCACUCUCCAUGGGAAAGAGACAUUGCAAGGCAUUCCUACUCCACUUCUCUGACGUGCUCAACUUUGUUGCAUCAUCAUCAGUGUUUGCUUAUGAUGCUUGAAGUCACCAAAUCUUCCAUUUGUUUUGCCCAUGCAAAUAGCUCCCUGCUGAAAAGCCCCUGGUGAAGACUCUGACCAGCAUAAUGGGUUAAAUCUCAGUAAGAAUAGGUGCUACAAACCAGGGCUGUUAAAGGAUCGCUGGCCUAUGUCUUGGAUGAUUUGUUUGAUUUGUUUAUUUGAAGAAUUCAAAUAUAUAUCCUCCCUUAAGUUGGCUGGCUGGCCUGUGACUCAGUGGAUGACGGAAUGCAGAAAAACUACUCAUCUGACUUCAAGCCAAUUGCCUUAAACAAUAUAUGUCCUGGGAAAGCCAUAACCUUGCCAACUCUGCAUAGCUCAGAAGCCAAUGACCACCCCUCUCUCAUCGUGGGAGUUACACUUCCUGUUUGACUCUGAAAAUUACUGGAACCGUGUCCCUUCUCAUAAUAUUUUCCAAAAAUGUAAUAGAUGGCAACCCAAACCAUCAGUAUUAUAACAGAAUGACAGAGUCAUAAACUAUACUCUACAAAUUAAGAGGGUUCGAAAGAGGCUAUAGAUUAAUAAUGUCACAGAGCAAUUCUGCAGCAAAGAAACAAAGAUCACUUUUGCAGUCCCUGAUUUAUAGUAAAGAAUUAUAUAACUUCAUUCAGUAAUAUCACACAAGCGUUGCUCCCAUAAUCAGACCAAUUACAAGUAUGAUGUUGCUUUCAUACAUCAGUUUACAUUUAAAAUUACAUUAAAACAUUUAGAUUUAAAAUUAUGUUCUAUAUAGUAUGAAUGAUGUGUGUCAUAUGAAUGUAAACCAGACAUUAUACAUUCUGUCAUUACCACAUGCCCUGCAAGCAACAGUUGAAACAGUUGGCCAUCCGGGUACUUACACUGUUUUAUGAAUACUCUGAAUUCGGACAAACUACUCGCUUUUAGAUGCAGCCCAUAGUGGUUUAAUUUGUGACACUUCGUGGAACCAAAACGAUAAUGUAUCACGUCCAUAAGCAGCGUCAUAAUGAACUACACCUGCGGUUACUCUCUUAGGAUACCUGAGAGGGGGACUGACGUCAUACAUCCACUAAAACUCACCUUGGCACCAGCUGUUAAAAAAGCCAUUGCACAGACGCCUCAGAAAAGUUAUUUCCGAAAGAAACUAAAUAAUCAUUGUUUGAGAUGCCACUGGCUUUUGAUAUUUUGUAUCUAAUGCUGUGACAUUUUGAACUGUUCAAAUACUUCACACCAUCAGACAUUAUAUUACUAGUCACAAAUAAACAAAUAAGACACCCACCUUGCAG